AGUGAACGCUGGCGGUAGGCCUAACACAUGCAAGUCGAACGGCAGCACAGUAAGAGCUUGCUCUUACGGGUGGCGAGUGGCGGACGGGUGAGGAAUACAUCGGAAUCUACUUUUUCGUGGGGGAUAACGUAGGGAAACUUACGCUAAUACCGCAUACGACCUACGGGUGAAAGCAGGGGAUCUUCGGACCUUGCGCGAUUGAAUGAGCCGAUGUCGGAUUAGCUAGUUGGCGGGGUAAAGGCCCACCAAGGCGACGAUCCGUAGCUGGUCUGAGAGGAUGAUCAGCCACACUGGAACUGAGACACGGUCCAGACUCCUACGGGAGGCAGCAGUGGGGAAUAUUGGACAAUGGGCGCAGGCCUGAUCCGGCCAAACCGCGUGGGUAAAGAAGGCCUCGGGUUGUAAAGCCCUUUUGUUGGGAAAGAAAAGCAGCAGGUUAAUACCCCGCUGUUCUGACGGUACCCAAAGAAUAAGCACCGGCUAACUUCGUG
rnacentral:rRNA from 1 species